AUUGAACGCUGGCGGCAGGCCUAACACAUGCAAGUCGAACGAGUGGCGGACGGGUGAGUAAUGUCUGGGAAACUGCCUGAUGGAGGGGGAUAACUAAUGGAAACGGUAGCUAAUACCGCAUACCAUCGGAUGUGCCCAGAUGGGAUUCGCUAGUAGGAGGGGUAAAGGCUCACAUAGGCGACGACCCCUAGCUGGUCUGAGAGGAUGACCAGCGACACUGGAACAGAGACACGGGCCAGACGCCUACGGGCGGCAGCAGUGGGGAAUAUAGCACUAUGUGCGCAAGCAUGAUGCAGCCGUGCCGCGUGUAUGAAGAAGGCCUUCUGGUUGGAAAGUACUUUCAGCGGGGAGGCGUUACCCGCAGAAGAAGCACCGGCUAACUCCGUGCCAGCAGCCGCAGGAAAC
rnacentral:rRNA from 1 species